AAAUGCACACGCUAACUUUCCCUUCAAAAUCCCCCACAAAAAAGUGUGGGGUGCAGGAUGAGACAAGCUGGGUUCACAUCCCGACUGCCCCGAAGAACGUCGGAGGCUCGGAGGAGGUUGUUGCAGACUGACUUGAGAGUGAUUCUCCUCCCAGGGCUGUUCUUAGCAAACACGCUAGGAGUACUGGAAUUGUCGCGUCGUGGAGUUUGUGUGUGGCCAACUUCAGUAAAUCCCGUUCAUGGAAGAAAUUUUCCCACAAUAAGAUUGUUCAUUGACACCGUCAAACAGUUUCCAGAGGUGGCUGGAAUGAGUUCACUCACCUCCCAGCGCUGUGUGGGAGUCCCGACCGUUCUACAUUCUUGGCAUCACACCCCUUCUGUGUUGGCCAUUCUGGUGGCUGAAAAUGGAAGCAUUGCUGACAUUCUCCUUCCCAGCUGAGAGCAAGCCUGCAGCCAAGGAGGCUGUCAGACUCUGAGGGACGGGCCGACACCGUCUCCAGGCCGCUCACAGCCGCGUCAUCCGCAUAGACAAACGCGCACACCUGCUGGAUGAGACGUCCCCUAAAUGGAUGUCACGCAGCGUCAGUGUGCUGGGCCUUCGGUGCACCGUCAUGAUGAACUGCGCGUGCCGGCGACAUACUAGAAGAAGCUGUUGGGUGCCGGGAAAGAGGGACAAAUAUGGAAAGAUGUUCUGGUUGUUUGGGGAUUUUUGCUGCUUGCUGGUGACAGAUGUUUUUGGAAUAUUGUCCCCAGGUCUUGACAGAUGUUCUCCACUUAACUUCCCCGAGGCUUCUGGCAGAAUGGCAGGAGCGAUCUGUAGUCUGUUUUCCCUUCUUUAAAAACAUUU